UGUGAGAUUAGAAUAAGUGGCUGCGUCCGAAAUGGCAUACUUCCCUAGUAUAUAGUAUGCAAAAAGCAGUAGACGAGCAAAUGAGUAUGUUUGAAUCCUCCUUGUUCAUAAAAGACUAGGUGAGAAUUGCACAAAUUCUCGUGAGAUUCGGACGUACGUAUAAUUUGCAUUCUAAUAUGCCUACUUACCUACUAUAUAGUAGGGAAAGAGUAUGUGAAGAAAGAAGUACGUUCGAAAACCUCAGUAUUCAUGAAACAAUAGGCUAGAAAUUCCUGGAUGUCCUACUGCUUCAGCCCAGAUUCUGGAGUGUUCAUUGAUGGAUACUGUUACGUCCUCUGGACUUAAUUGUUUAUUAUCUGUCUUUAUUGUGGUGAUUGUUUGUUUUUGUUGUGCAGUUUCCCUUCUCUCUCUCUCCCUCCCUCUCUUUUCCUCUGCGCAGUGUUAAUUGGGUGCAGCUGCAGGUGAUUAUGUGGAGGAUGGAGCAUGCUUAAAAGCUGAGGAGGAUGGCACUGAGGGAGGCGCGUCGGUCAUUCGACAUGUGGGUUGUCGGUUGAUGUGGUUCGGCGUUGGGAGCUCGCUGUGUAUGCGCGUUGCAGAGCCCCACGGUAUUGGGCCGCUGCCGUUCUGCCCGCCGUCUCCUGCCCCAGACAUUCAUCGCACUGGUUGCCCUGAUGGUAGCUGUUGGGUGGUUGCCGUUCGAGAUGCCACACGAGAGGAUACGUCAACAUCGAAUGUGAAGGAGAGCAGCGAUGAGGGUUUAUAAAUGGACAGAUGAGACACACGUGUGUUUAUCUGGUGAAGAGUGACUGAAGGAAUGCUGCCAUCAAAUGCUCUCAAUCUUUUGUGGUGGAGCAGGUGACGGUGGCAUUUGUGAAAAAUAGGAAAACCUGAAACCAAAAUAUAAAGAUCUGAAAUGUCUGUAGACUGCUGUGUGCUCUGAGGAUGGAGAAGUCCACAGCAGCAUCCUGGAAAUGGUCCAGUGUCAUGGAUGAAAUGCUCCAUCACUGCAUCUGCCCUUGUUUUCUCAUCAGGACUGGAUGUUGCUGUGGUCUCUUCAUCCCCAGUGACCCCAGAGCCAGCGAGAGGAUCUAGAGAAAGACCAAAAGACAUUGAGAAUGUGAUUUGUCAAGUUUGUUCUGCUGGUUUCUGUUCAUAAAACAUCAGUCAAUGAAACCCGAGUUUCAGAAGCUUCUAAAGCAUCAAAUAAUGUCACGAAGAAUCUGAAAGUCAGGCUCCAUUGACUGAUACUGUAUGAACACAAACCAGCAGGAGAAACUUGACCAAAAUCAGGAAAACACACACACACAAGGAUUGAACAGCAUGGAGGGACCUCAAUCCCUCUGGAGCCACCUGGAGUAAAGAGGCUUGCUGAAGCACUUACUGCAAAGAUUGAUCCAGAAACCUUCUGCUGACCAGUCCAGUUGACUACACCACAAAAGUAGUGGUGCCCAUGGAGAGCAGCACACAAGUGUUUGGAGCAGACACAGCAGCAGUCAGAUUGUCCCGCACAUGUUCUCCUGCUUUUGUUCAGGGUUGUGUGAUUCAGGGGCAUCAUCAUAGUCUUCCUCAUCCUCUGUGCACUCAGACAAGGACAGCCUUGAUGUCUCUUUCCAUGAUCAGAUUCAGUCUGACUGCAGCAGUGAGGGACCCGAUAGCGGAUGUGGGUUCAACGCCUGUAAAUUUUCAAAAACAGAACCAUGUUUGAAUAAAGCUUUGUUUUGUGUUUUGUUGACUUGUAUUUAUUGUGAUGGUAACUUUUAUUUAAUCUUUUACUCAUUUAUUUAUGUCUCCUGUUGUUGUCAGUAAAUAAAAUAUAGCCUAAUUGUUUCAUUAACACAUGCAUUCAUUCAUUACUUGACUGAAUAUUUAGAUGUAUUCAUCUUGGCUGAAUCUGUCUAGUGUGAAGUCAUGCAUAGC